rfam:Erinaceus europaeus unplaced genomic scaffold scaffold00629, whole genome shotgun sequence
GAAUAUGAGGUCAAUCUCGCUGCAAUAUCUGUCACCCCAUUGGUCACCAGGGUUUAUUUGGCUGAUCUGGCUGGCUAGGUGGGUGUCCCCUUCCUCCCUCACUGCCCCAUGUGUGUUCCUCCUGAAGCUGCGUGCUCAGUCUAAGAGGACGGCCUUCCCCAAAUAGAGACGGACUGGACUUCGGUCAAGGGUAUAUGAGUAGUUGUGCUCCCUUGCUAGAACCUCCAAACAAGCUCUCCUCUAUUCAUUCUCCCUCUGCCACCCACAAAAAUACCCACCAAUAUCCAGUAGUCUUAUCAGUUAUCACACAGCGAUCUUAUCACAGUACUAAUAUAU